rnacentral:lncRNA from 1 species
AUGACCCAGCCAGGGCCUUAUAUAGGCCUGUCUGUUAUGACAUCACAAAGGCUUUUCAUGAGCUCAGAGCAAAGCAGGGCCAAUCAUGGCUGGGGAUCUUUCACAGAGGUUUUCUCUCUUUUGGUCCCCAAAACAUCUUUCUCUUUUAAAAAGUUAUGGAUCAACACACCACCUAUAUCUACUGCACACGUCCCUCCCUUUCACAGUGCAUUAACUUCAGAUGUGUGCUCUGCCUCUUUCUGUCUUCCCACCAAAUCAAAAACAACUCAUCCCUAG